GUGAACAAUUAAUAAAUUAUUUCCAAUAUUUACGGAAUAUAUCAGAAUGAUUAAUUUAAACGGAAAACAAUAAAAUAUUCUUUAGACGGAGCCUGAUUAUUCCUAUGGGAAUAAUCAGACUUCGUUACAUCCCCCCUGGUUCGGAAAAAUUCAAGUUACGGUGAAACAGAAAUUUGAAUUCUAAAAACAAACAAAAAAAAAUAACCGAAUACUAUCCUGUCUUUUUACGCGGGAUAUAUGGGAAGUACGGGUCUGACUGUUACGUUACGCUAUCAAAGAUUAUAAUGCUGUUGUAGACAGUAUGACAUAUAAAAAUAAAACUUUGCUCUAUGAAUCGAUGUCAAAUUCAAAUGUCGUCUUCUUUCUUCUGUCAUCCGGGGUGAUUUGAAUGUUUGGAAAUUUCUUCAUCUCGGGGUUGUGGAGUAGCUCUCAUUCCCAUUUCCAUGAAGUUUCCAAGUGUCGGUGAAAAAUUCAAACGCCAUCUUCCUUCUUCGGUCAUCCGGGGUGAUUUGAAUGUGUACAUGUUUGGGAAAUUUCUUCAUCUCGGGGUUGUGGAGUAGAACUCAUUCCCAUUUCCAUGAAGUUUCCAAGUGUCGGUGAAAUAAUCUGAUGUCAGGUGUGGAUUAUCCCAUUCUCCGAGGGACGUCGAAAUUCCCAGUCAGAUGAGUCGAAACCAUUCCAAACUCAUUGAUAUACUGGUUGAUUUACCUGUGGAUAUUACAAGGAAUCAGUGACUGUAUGGUGAAAUUUUCAGAACGGUGAAAAUUCUUCCAGUUAUACAGUUUAAAUUAUCUAUAUGAAAAUUGAAAUGGAAUCCAGAUGUCCACCAGAGUAAUAAUUGACAGGCCAUGAUGUCCAAUUCUUCAAGUACUUCUUUCUUGGAUGAUGACAUGAAUAAAUCUUCAGGAAUCAUGUCUUCGGUGGAAUUGGGCUUACAGCUGAUCAUCCGAUGAAAGGUGUGUUGCCUAUCUCCAGCAUUUAUUCUCAUCGGUGUCGCAGCCUGGGGAAUUGGAACCUGUGGUAGUGGCUGAUCAUCAGCGUCCAAUGUUAUCAACGAUGUCUCCAGUGGUGCAACCUUGGUUGGCUGUAUGGGAGACAUCCCCGGCGACUGUGGAAUCUCUACAUCCAAAAGCGAUCCAUCCGGAUGAUUCGAUGGCUGCGGUCUGUCUGCAGUCACUAGUGCUUCCAAUG